rnacentral:rRNA from 1 species
GACGAACGCUGGCGGCGUGCUUAACACAUGCAAGUCGAGCGGAGCGGCGCACGGGUGAGUAACGCGUGAGUAACUGCCCCCCUCUCUGGGAUAACAGUUGGAAACGGCUGCUAAUACCGGAUAUUGGGGGAUGACUCGCGUCCUAUCAGCUUGUUGGUGGGGUAGUGGCCUACCAAGGCGACGACGGGUAGCCGGCCUGAGAGGGCGACCGGCCACAUUGGGCUGAGAUACGGCCCAAACUGAUACGGGAGGCAGGAGUGGGGAAUUGUGCGCAAUGGGAGCAAGCCUGAGGCAGGGAGGCCGCGUGAGGGAUGAAGGCCUGCGGGUUGUAAACCUUUUUCGCUCAUGGUCGGGUAGUGGGUAAAGAAGCGCCGGCUAACUACGUGCCAGCAGCCGCGGUAAUUC